AGACGUCAGUGCUGGACCGGAAGUUGAGGCGCUCCAACGUCCCUUCAGCUAACUAACUCACGCGCAGGAAGGUCAGCUGAAAACAAACUCACGUUUCUGUUGCUGUUUGGAUUCUAUGCCGUGAACCUUCUGAUUUAAAGUUCUGCAGCAAUGAAGCCUCACAAGCUCUCUGCAGCUAAAAGGCUCACGAAACCUAUUCUGUUCGGGAGCAUCAUUGUUGGACUUGCCACUGUUUACAUAAACAGACACAGGUUCUUUGAAGAUGUGGAUGAACUUCGGGCCCAGGAGCGCGCUCGCAAUGACGCCAAGAGGGGAGAGGUCAUGGAGAGGCGGCAGAGACAGAAAGAGGAGCUGUCUGAGAAGAAGAAACUGCAAGGAAGUGACUGAACACAGCUGCACAACGCUCUAUCAGUGGACUAAAGGCCUGCACAAGGACUGAAAUCCAUCAGGCAGCCAGAAGAAAGUCUGAUGAAGAGGCAAUUAAAAACUCUUCUUUGGGGCUUUUUGAAGUCACCUGGGCAGGAAAUGUGUGUUGUGCAUCAAUCCAGACUGUUUGUGCUCCAACCAACACAACGUUUGUGCCUCUAGAUGUAAUUUUUUGUUAUCAGUUAAUUAUGAAUUCAAAUCAUGCACUUGCUUGUUUGUUUGUUUGUUAGGUAGAGGACAGAAAAAAACACAAGCUGUCGGCUGAAACUUCUUUUUGCGGAUGAUAUUAGAAAACAAAUCGGAUUGUUCUAACAAAGUGCACCAGUUCACCCUUUAAGUUAAUUUAGUUAAAUACUGGUAUUGGUACAAAGUGGCGUUUUUGCUUCUCAAAAUUAAAUAUUUUGACAUAGAAAGCUCAGAAAAAUGACAUUGCAGCCAUUAUUGAAAUGGUUUGAAUUGUUUUGUCUAUAAAAUAUUAAAACAUGUUUUUUUCACUUUCA